rnacentral:rRNA from 1 species
CACCUACGGGACGCAGCAGUGAGGAAUAUUGGUCAAUGGCCGGAAGGCUGGACCAGCCAAGCCGCGUGAGGGAGGAAGGCGCAGAGCGUCGCAGACCUCUUUUGCCGGGGGACAAAAGGCCGGACUCGUCCGGUCCUGAGGGUACCCGGAGAAAAAGCAUCGGCUAACUCCGUGCCAGCAGCCGCGGUAAUACGGAGGAUGCGAGCGUUAUCCGGAUUCAUUGGGUUUAAAGGGUGCGCAGGCGGGCCUUUAAGCCGGGGUGGAA